UCGGCUAUAGUCAACCCUGCGGUGUUCAGAGGACUGGAUCUCCCCAGUGGAUCACUGUACUCAACCCUGCGGUGUUCAGAGAACUGGAUCUCCCCAGUGGAUCACUGUAGUCAACCCUGCGGUUUUCAGAGGACUGGAUCUCCCCAGUGGAUCACUGUAGUCAACUCUGUGGUGUUCAGCUUUAUGAAUCAACGGGACUGGUUCAGGGUAUUCCUUCAGUCUGCUUACACAGCCCGGAGUCUGUCGUGUAUUAAAGAAGCAGUCAAUAACUUAAUGCAGUUAACCAAAUAAUUGUAUUAACUUCCCAUUUUGGGCUGGAUGUAAUAUGUUGUUUAUUGGUGCAUAAUCUAGAAGUACAAUAACUAUUAUUUCUCAGUUAGACUUGAAAUGCCUUGUUUGAAAGCGGGUGCUUUGACAAGGGGCACAAGUUCGAUGAGCUGUGAAGGAAAUUACAAGGUAUGUACAGUGAUGUCACCAAAUAUUUAAUCAUCUUGAAUGUGUAAAUUAGUUUACAACAAAAUAUGUUUAAUAACACUAUAGAACUGUGUCCUUUUAUCGUGCGUUUUGGGUAUAGUAUUUCAAGGAAGAAGCCUCCCUGGUUCCAUCGGACCGGGUUUCAGAAGACCCGCUACCGAAGCCACUACGCAGGCGACGGAGACCCCUAGCAACUUUCAGGACUUGUUCCCUCGUGGACGAUUACCUUUUUUGCGGUUGGUUGCGUUGUGACCGGAUGGUUGGCGUGUUGAUAUAAAUUGUGCUGGGCUAAUCUGUUAUAGGUUUAGCUGGAUCCAUUAUCACAGGAUUGCCUGAAAGCAGGGUCCGACAUUAACACCCGCCAAGCGGACAGAUUGUAGGUUUGGCAUGUUUAUCAGAACGCCCAAUGUUUAUCUCUUGUAAUCAGAGGAGAGCGGCGAUGUAAGUUGUGAUGCGCCGCAAUAUAUUUUUUUUAUUUUUAUGAAACGCUUUAUUUUUCAACCAAAUUUAGAGAAUUUUUCAUCGCGCACAAUUUACUAUCGCACGAGCAUCAGAGCAGAGCAACAACGUCCUGCACGUUCAGGGUAUCAAACUAGCCAGUGAGAUCAGAGAACAGACAAUGGUUGUGUUCUAUGGAUGUGCACGCUUGUGUUGCACUGUCAGUAAAUGGCUGUCACAUUCAUAUUAAGAUGGUAACCCAAGGGUUAGACAACCCCAGAUUAGAAGCUAGCUAACUCUUACAAAACGAUAGUUACAAUGGAUUAGCGUUAUGCAAGCAACAUUAGAGAUUCGGCAGCAACAAAAAGUUCUCUCGUUUUCGUAUUCUGCCUUCAAAAUUAAGGUCUGCGGUGAAACGUUAAAUACAUUCGGCAGUAACAAUAAGACUCACGUUUUUCUUAUUUUCUCUUCAAAAUAAAAGCAUGCGAUGGGUCGAUGGGUUUUGCAAUUUUUCUAAGGAAAAACUGUGGAGUUUAAAUAAUACAUUAUAUAAGGAAAUAAUACAAGGUGGAGCACAUUGAGAAAUGUUUAGAGCUUAAGUUAAUUUAGAGAACCUUUCUAAUUUAAAGAAAAUCAGAUGAUUGAUGUUAUUGUUGUUAAUUUGCUUUUGCUCAUUAGGUCUGGAGAGGGAUUGUGUUAUAGGUCUGGGGGGCGAUUCAUAAACCGUUUUAAAUAAUGAUUAAUUUGAAAAAAAAACUAGAUUGGAACAUGGUUAUGAGAAAUAGCAGGGAAUAUGGAAUACAUAUAUCAUCUAAUUUCUUCUGGGAACACAGAUGGUAAAAUUACACAUUAUACCAGAGGCCUUGCACUCUAGAGGAAAAUACAAGAAUGCCAUUUCAGACUCAACCCAUAAAGCAAUUUGAGGAGGAAAAAGUGGUGUGGUAAACCACAGCUAUUGGCCAAACAGAAUUGGGAGCGCCCGGUUUAUAAUAUACACUCACCUAAAUGAUUAUUAGGAACACCAUACUAAUACUGUGUUUGACCCCCUUUCGCCUUCAGAACUGCCUUAAUUCUACAUGGCAUUGAUUCAACAAGGUGUAGAAAGCAUUCUUUAGAAAUGUUGGCCCUUAACUCUGUUGUAACGAGUGGUUAUUUCAGUCAAAGUUGACACAGAACUGCCGCGUACUGGAUGUUUUUCCCUUUUCACACCAUUCUUUGUAAACCCUAGAAAUGGUUGUGCGUGAAAAUCCCAGUAACUGAGCAGAUUGUGAAAUUCUCAGACUGGCCCGUCUGGCACCAACAACCAUGCUACGCUCAAAAUUGCUUAAAUCACCUUUCUUUCCCAUUCUGAUAUUCAGUUUGGCGUUCAGGAGAUUGUCUUGACCAGGACCACACCCCUAAAUGCAUUGAAGCAACUGCCAUGUGAUUGGUUGAUUAGAUAAUUGCAUUAAUGAGAAAUUGAACAGGUUUCCUAAUAAUCCUUUAGGUGAGUGUAGAUUUUACUGUAAAGUAAAUGUGCCAAUGUUUUUGAGAUGCAACUUUGUAUAAGCAGAAAAGCUGAUGGGAUGUUGUGCUGACUUGUGUGACAGGGUGGCAACUGCAGAAAGCCUGAAUCACUUUGUUCCUUCAGGGCUGUUCAUGGUUGGACUGCAGCGUUGUGUGAAUUAAUCCAAGCAGAAACAAGGCUUUAAUCAGUAUGGAAGACUUCACUCUCAUACAUUUCUGGAGUGAGACACUGAGGCACUAAUACCCAGAAAGCUCUGGUCUAAAGUAGUGUACUAUAUAAGAAAUAGGGUGCUAGGGCUCUGGUCUAAAGUAAUGUACUACUAUUUGUGUUGUGCUGGGGCUACAGCUAUUCAGCUGAUUGGGUCUAAUGUUCAGGUCAAUGCAGUUAUUAGUAACGUUAGAACAGACACGGUUGAGAGGUGAUAGAUCUUUGACAUCAGAGACCUUGUUAACUCACGCUGCUCGCCUGCACUGGCCAGCCUAAACAGGGUUUAUUGCAAUUUGAGACCCAUCCCUCGCAGAAGAGGACAAAGAGAUGGUAUUAAACUAAUAUGGUCUUUGAAAGAUAAUCACUUGUUUCUCAAAUGGAAUCCUGUUCACUCUGUAGUGCAUUACUGUUGUCCGGCGCCCAUGGGGAGUGGUGUGUUAUUUGGGAGACAUCACUCCUCUUCAGCCUGUACGUACAUUGACACAUUCCCAAAAUGUGUGCCAGUGAAUAGGCACUGCCAGCAUAGUGUUAUACACAACAUGGACGCAGGCAUGCAGUGUUAUACACAACAUGGACGCAGGUAUACUGUGUUAUACACAACAUGGACCUCGCCAGACAGUGCUCUCCAAAAUGCUUAGGGUUUGGUUUAAAAAAAAAAUAAUGUGUGGGCAGUAAGUGUUUGUGGUCAUAAAAAAAAUUACAAAUAACAUUAGGUUGAAUACAAAAAAGGAAGGGGAAAAAAAUAUUUGGGAGGUAAGUACUUAUUUAACAAAACCUCUGAGGUAAAACAAAAAAAGAAAGUACGGGUGACCAUCUUUUUAAAUGUAGUUAGGAACCUUCUAAUGGGCAGGUCUUAAUGUAGCACAUCCAGUCCAGCAAAUCCUUUACUUAUACAGAGAAAUCAACUUUUGACAUUUUUCACUGCUGAGCCCUUCAUCACAACAAUACAACAUUCUUACAAAAGGGACAUUAAAUACACUUUUUCCCCCG
ensembl:lncRNA